rnacentral:rRNA from 1 species
UACGUAGGGUGCGAGCGUUGUCCGGAAUUAUUGGGCGUAAAGAGCUCGUAGGCGGUUUGUCGCGUCUGCUGUGAAAAUCCAGGGCUUAACCCUGGACCUGCAGUGGGUACGGGCAGACUAGAGUGCGGUAGAGGAGAUCGGAAUUCCUGGUGUAGCGGUGAAAUGCGCAGAUAUCAGGAGGAACACCGGUGGCGAAGGCGGAUCUCUGGGCCGUAACUGACGCUGAGGAGCGAAAGCAUGGGGAGCGAACAGG